AAAAGAAACCAACAGGGAUUGCCCCAGUAACGGCGAGUGAAGCGGCAACAGCUCAAAUUUGAAAUCUGGCCCCCUCCGCGGGGGUCCGAGUUGUAAUUUGCAGAGGAUGCUUCUGGCGCGGCGCCUUCCGAGUUCCCUGGAACGGGACGCCACAGAGGGUGAGAGCCCCGUCCGGUCGGACGCCCAGCCUAUGUGAAGCACCUUCGACGAGUCGGGUAGUUUGGGAAUGCUGCCCUAAAUGGGAGGUAUAUGUCUUCUAAAGCUAAAUACCGGCCAGAGACCGAUAGCGCACAAGUAGAGUGAUCGAAAGAUGAAAAGCACUUUGAAAAGAGGGUUAAACAGUACGUGAAAUUGUUGAAAGGGAAGCGCUCAUGACCAGACUUGGGCCCGGGGGAUCACCCGGCGUUCUUUCGCCGGGGCACUUCGCCGGCUGCCCAGGCCAGCAUCAGUUCGCGGCGGGGGACAAAGGCUUCGGGAACGUGGCUCCCUACGGGGAGUGUUAUAGCCCGCUGCGCAAUGCCCUGCCGCGGACUGAGGUUCGCGCUUCCGCAAGGAUGCUGGCGUAAUGGUCAUCAGCGACCCGUCUUGAAACACGGACCAAGGAGUCGUCUUCGUAUGCGAGUGUUCGGGUGUCAAACCCCUACGCGGAAUGAAAGUGAACGCAGGUGAGAGCUUCGGCGCAUCACCGACCGAUCCUGAUGUUCUCGGAUGGAUUUGAGUAAGAGCAUACGGGGCCGGACCCGAAAGAAGGUGAACUAUGCCUGUAUAGGGUGAAGCCAGAGGAAACUCUGGUGGAGGCUCGCAGCGGUUCUGACGUGCAAAUCGAUCGUCAAAUAUGGGCAUGGGGGCGAAAGACUAA
rnacentral:rRNA from 1 species